rnacentral:rRNA from 1 species
GAUGAACGCUAGCUACAGGCUUAACACAUGCAAGUCGAGGGGAAACGACAUCGAAAGCUUGCUUUUGAUGGGCGUCGACCGGCGCACGGGUGAGUAACGCGUAUCCAACCUGCCCAUCACUUGGGGAUAACCUUGCGAAAGUAAGACUAAUACCCAAUGAUAUCUCUAGAAGACAUCUGAAAGAGAUUAAAGAUUUAUCGGUGAUGGAUGGGGAUGCGUCUGAUUAGCUUGUUGGCGGGGUAACGGCCCACCAAGGCAACGAUCAGUAGGGGUUCUGAGAGGAAGGUCCCCCACAUUGGAACUGAGACACGGUCCAAACUCCUACGGGAGGCAGCAGUGAGGAAUAUUGAUCAAUGGGCGAGAGCCUGAACCAGCCAAGUAGCGUGCAGGAAGACGGCCCUAUGGGUUGUAAACUGCUUUUAGAAGGGAAUAAAGUGAGAGUCGUGACUCUUUUUGUAUGUACCUUAUGAAUAAGGACCGGCUAAUUCCGUG